UUGCGACCACAUGUAACGACUAUGAGUCGAGUAAUAUUACAGGGAUUAGCCUUAAAACGAAAUCACCAGCUCCAGAUUAAGUUCUUUGAUAUUCGUGAAGACUGCCAGACGCAUGACGUGAAGCUCAAGAGGCCAGAUGAGUCGCAUUUAGUUCAAGAAUGGCACGUGGGUGUCGAGACGUGAGACGUGUUGCUGCACGCUAAGGAACAAGUUUCAGAUAUUCGUGGUGCAGUAAUAUCGAUAUGACUUCACACGCGACGAGUUUCCAGUAAUGAGAGUGACUACUGGACUAUUACUCAAGUUUCUCGUCGGAAGAUUCGUGCCGGUGGAAUGAAUCAUCUUCACCACUCACUGCUCAACGUUUGGUAAUUUCGCAAUAUACUUUGUGAGAUGAGACUAAAUUGGACAACUUUUCUCCCAAGUGUGUCUUGACGAAACUGUUAUUGAUGGAUGACCGAUGAGGGGACCGACUGAUAGAUAUUGGUGACUGAGAGGUAAAUUGAUAGGUUAUGUAGAUUGAUAGAUGAAAAAGA